GGGGACCUUCGGGGCCCUUUAAACUGAAAAGCCGGGAACACCCGGCACGAAGCAAACGGAAGACAGAAA
rfam:Boseongicola aestuarii strain CECT 8489 genome assembly, contig: 0016